UGCAGUCGAACGGUGAAGGAGAGCUUGCUCUUUGGAUCAGUGGCGAACGGGUGAGUAACACGUGAGCAAUCUGCCCCUGACUCUGGGAUAACAGUUGGAAACAGCUGCUAAUACCGGAUAUGAGACGUGACCGCAUGGUCGACGUUUGGAAAGAAUUUCGGUCAGGGAUGAGCUCGCGGCCUAUCAGCUUGUUGGUGAGGUAAUGGCUCACCAAGGCGUCGACGGGUAGCCGGCCUGAGAGGGUGACCGGCCACACUGGGACUGAGACACGGCCCAGACUCCUACGGGAGGCAGCAGUGGGGAAUAUUGCACAAUGGGCGAAAGCCUGAUGCAGCAACGCCGCGUGAGGGACGACGGCCUUCGGGUUGUAAACCUCUUUUAGCAGGGAAGAAGCGAAAGUGACGGUACCUGCAGAAAAAGCGCCGGCUAACUACGUGCCAGCAGCCGCGGUAAUACGUAGGGCGCAAGCGUUAUCCGGAAUUAUUGGGCGUAAAGAGCUCGUAGGCGGUUUGUCGCGUCUGCUGUGAAAACUGGAGGCUCAACCUCCAGCCUGCAGUGGGUACGGGCAGACUAGAGUGCGGUAGGGGAGAUUGGAAUUCCUGGUGUAGCGGUGGAAUGCGCAGAUAUCAGGAGGAACACCGAUGGCGAAGGCAGAUCUCUGGGCCGUAACUGACGCUGAGGAGCGAAAGGGUGGGGAGCAAACAGGCUUAGAUACCCUGGUAGUCCACCCCGUAAACGUUGGGAACUAGUUGUGGGGUCCAUUCCACGGAUUCCGUGACGCAGCUAACGCAUUAAGUUCCCCGCCUGGGGAGUACGGCCGCAAGGCUAAAACUCAAAGGAAUUGACGGGGACCCGCACAAGCGGCGGAGCAUGCGGAUUAAUUCGAUGCAACGCGAAGAACCUUACCAAGGCUUGACAUAUACGAGAACGGGCUAGAAAUAGUCAACUCUUUGGACACUCGUAAACAGGUGGUGCAUGGUUGUCGUCAGCUCGUGUCGUGAGAUGUUGGGUUAAGUCCCGCAACGAGCGCAACCCUCGUUCUAUGUUGCCAGCACGUAAUGGUGGGAACUCAUGGGAUACUGCCGGGGUCAACUCGGAGGAAGGUGGGGAUGACGUCAAAUCAUCAUGCCCCUUAUGUCUUGGGCUUCACGCAUGCUACAAUGGCCGGUACAAAGGGCUGCAAUACCGUAAGGUGGAGCGAAUCCCAAAAAGCCGGUCCCAGUUCGGAUUGAGGUCUGCAACUCGACCUCAUGAAGUCGGAGUCGCUAGUAAUCGCAGAUCAGCAACGCUGCGGUGAAUACGUUCCCGGGUCUUGUACACACCGCCCGUCAAGUCAUGAAAGUCGGUAACACCUGAAGCCGGUGGCCCAACCCUUGUGGAGGGAGCC
rnacentral:rRNA from 1 species